GAUGAACGCUGGCGGCGUGCCUAAUACAUGCAAGUCGAGCGAACGGACGAGGAGCUUGCGUCUCUGAUGUUAGCGGCGGACGGGUGAGUAACACGUGUAUAACCUACCUAUAAGACUGGGAUCAUUUGGGGAAAGCGGAUACAACACCGGAUAAUAUUUUGAACCGCAGUGUUCAUAGGAGAAUGACGGUCGUGCUGGCACGAAUAGAUGGUUCCGCGCUGCAUUAGCUAGUUGGUAAGGAAAAGGCUUACCAAGGCUACGAUGCAUAGCCGACCUGAGAGGGUGAUCGGCCACACUGGAACUGAGACACGGUCCAGACUCCUACGGGAGGCAGCAGUAGGGAAUCUUCCGCAAUGGGCGAAAGCCUGACGCAGCAACGCCGCGUGUGUGAUGAAGGUCUUCGGAUCGUAAAACUCUGUUAUUAGGGAAGAACAUAUGUGUACGUAAACGUGCACAUCUUGACGGUACCUAAUCAAAAAGCCACGGCUAACUACGUG
rnacentral:rRNA from 1 species